rnacentral:snoRNA from 1 species
GCUGGGAACGGCCUCGCAUGAUGACCCUUCUCUCUCUGAUGGCUGUGGUGGUGAUGAUCAUCAAACCAAAGCCUCUAAGAAGUUGACUGAAGAGACUGUUCCUCU